GAUGAAGGAAAAAGUUAAGACCAACUCCUUUUGCCUGUGAUUUGAAAAUUCAAGAGCUAAAAGCAUGAUUUGCGGGUGAAGAUAGAGAUAUAGAGUGAAAGAGGGACUAUAUUUUGUUUACAGAUGAAGAGCUCUCGAGCUAAGAUUUAUAUGGGCUCUCAUUCAAGCGGCCACACUUCUUUUGCUCAAAAUUACGUUGGAUCAUUGAUUUUUAGUUUAUGACAUUUGAUUGGCAGCUGAGAAAUGUAUAUAUUUAUAGAGAAAGGGAAAAGUUUGAAAUUUUGU